rnacentral:rRNA from 1 species
UACGUAGGGUGCGAGCGUUGUCCGGAAUUAUUGGGCGUAAAGAGCUUGUAGGCGGUUUGUCGCGUCUGCUGUGAAAUCCCAGGGCUUAACCCUGGGCUUGCUUUCGAUACGGGCAGACUAGAGGUAUGCAGGGGGAGAACGGAAUUCCUGGUGUAGCGGUGAAAUGCGCAGAUAUCAGGAGGAACACCGGUGGCGAAGGCGGUUCUCUGGACAGUUACUGACGCUGAGGCACGAAGGCCAGGGGAGCAAACGGG